rnacentral:rRNA from 1 species
CACGUAGGGCGCAAGCGUUGUCCGGAAUUAUUGGGCGUAAAGAGCUCGUAGGUGGUUUGUUACGUCUGCUGUGAAAACCUAGGGCUUAACCCUGGGCUUGCAGUGGAUACGGGCAGACUAGAGGUAGGUAGGGGAGAAUGGAAUUCCUGGUGUAGCGGUGAAAUGCGCAGAUAUCAGGAGGAACACCGGUGGCGAAGACGGUUCUCUGGGCCUUACCUGACACUGAGGAGCGAAAGCGUGGGGAGCGAACAGG